rnacentral:rRNA from 1 species
ACAUGCCUACAACAUAGCGUUAAUGCAUUGGAUCACAUUAGAACUUCGCAGUUAAGCAUGCUUAAGAUAGAGUAGUACUGGGAUGGGUGAUCGAGUAGGAAGUCCUAGUGUUUUACAUGCC